rnacentral:rRNA from 1 species
UAGGGAAUCUUCCGCAAUGGACGAAAGUCUGACGGAGCAACGCCGCGUGAGUGAAGAAGGAUUUCGGUUCGUAAAACUCUGUUGUUAGGGAAGAAAAAAUGUAUAGUAACUAUAUACAAAAGAGACGGUACCUAACCAGAAAGCCACGGCUAACUACGUGCCAGCAGCCGCGGUAAUACGUAGGUGGCAAGCGUUGUCCGGAAUUAUUGGGCGUAAAGCGCGCGCAGGUGGUUUAGAAAGUCUGAUGUGAAAACCCACGGCUCAACCGUGGAGGGUCAUUGGAAACUAAUAAACUUGAGUGCAGGAGAGAAAAGUGGAAUUCCUAGUGUAGCGGUGAAAUGCGUAGAGAUUAGGAGGAACACCGGUGGCGAAAGCGGCUUUUUGGCCUGCAACUGACACUGAGGCGCGAAAGCGUGGGGAGCAAACAGG